rnacentral:rRNA from 1 species
GGAUAAUCUACCCUUAGGACCGGGAUAACCCUGGGAAACUGGGGAUAAUACUGGAUAGGCAAUUAUUCCUGUAAUGGUUUUUUGUUUAAAUGUUUUUUCGCCUAAGGAUGAGUCUGCGGCCGAUUAGGUAGUUGGUUAGGUAAUGGCUUACCAAGCCGUUGAUCGGUACGGGUUGUGAGAGCAAGAGCCCGGAGAUGGAACCUGAGACAAGGUUCCAGGCCCUACGGGGUGCAGCAGGCGCGAAACCUCCGCAAUGUGAGAAAUCGCGACGGGGGGAUCCCAAGUGCCAUUCUUAACGGGAUGGCUUUUCAUUAGUGUAAAGAGCUUUUGGAAUAAGAGCUGGGCAAGACCGGUGCCAGCCGCCGCGGUAACACCGGCAGCUCUAGUGGUAACAAUUUUUAUUGGGCCUAAAGCGUCCGUAGCCGGUUUAAUAAGUCUCUGGUGAAAUCCUGUAGCUUAACUGUGGGAAUUGCUGGAGAUACUAUUAGACUUGAGACCGGGAGAGGUUAGAGGUACUCCCAGGGUAGAGGUGAAAUUCUGUAAUCCUGGGAGGACCGCCUGUUGCGAAAGCGUCUAACUGGAACGGUUCUGACGGUGAGGGACGAAAG